UGGUCUUGACAUCUAGCGAACUUUCCAGAAAUGGAUUGGUGCCUUCGGGAACGCUAAGACAGGUGCUGCAUGGCUGUCGUCAGCUCGUGCCGUGAGAUGUUGGGUUAAGUCCCGUAACGAGCGCAACCCUUGUCCUUAGUUGCCAGCACGUAAUGGUGGGAACUCUAGGGAGACUGCCGGUGAUAAACCGGAGGAAGGUGGGGAUGACGUUACUGUACCAUAGA
rnacentral:misc_RNA from 1 species